GCACUACUAGGCUCGCGCGCGCAUGACCUCACCUGCCGCCGCCGCCGCUCGCCCGCCGCCGCUUGCCCGCCGCCGCUCGCCUGCCGCUCGCCUGCCGCCGCCGCCGCCGCCGCGGCUGCUCGCCUGCCGCCGUGCCGCUCCCCUCGCUCGGCACACCAGGCCACCUUCUCCCCUCUUCUCUCCUCUCAUCUCCAGGCCACCCACCGCCUCCCUCUUCCUCUCCCUAUCCUCGGUGAGCUACAGAUCCGGUUCGGGGGUCAUCGGAAUCGAUGGUCUCGGCCAUUGGUCUCCUCGCCGGUGAAUCGUUUUGAUACCCUUCUGCAUACAUUUAGCACAAAAUCCACAUGGUUCUGUGGAGAAAUUGAUGGGCUAGGAUGAGGUGUAAGUCGCAGAUUACAGAGAGGACGACUUUCAUUCUGCGCAUCUACCGUCAUACUGAGCAAGUUAUCGAGCUUUCUCCUCUCUUAAUCAGGGCUGCGAUAUUUAGAUUAUGACGCAGCAAAAAUAUAUUAGAGUACAAAGGGUAAUUUGUCUUUGCCAAAAGAAUGGAGUUGAUUUUCCUAUCUUCUUAAUAGGAAAGAAUUCAAGUACAUAGUCUCUUCUAGUGUCGUCUGGGAUUACAAGCAGUAGAUGCCCGAUGCCACAAGUGUUAGCUUAUAUAAAAAACAAGGUUGGUAUGCCGCAUGUCUUCACUUUCUACCACAGAGUUAUUGCGCGUUUGUAAACAUGGUGAAAGAGAUGUAUCUCUGAAGCAUAAUCAAUUCAUUAGCAAUUUCAAUGUUAGGUUGUUUUUCUUUAGCCAGCAGCGCAAGAGAAAAUAGCAUAACAAUUUCAAUGUUAUGCAUUUGUGUAUUCGACAGAAGGUCCAGUUAUGUGCUCCAUUGGAGAUAUUCUUAUUCUCUUCUCAAAUUGUCGAUUGGAGUAUUUGGUCGUUCAUGUGUAUGGCUUAAAAUAUUCAACAAUAUUGUAUCGAAGUGGUUAUCUUCUCAUGUUAGACAUAAGAAUUCCUUCUAGCAUGUAACUGUUAUUUAAAAUUAUCGAUAGC
rnacentral:lncRNA from 1 species